ensembl:lincRNA
AUGAGUGAUUGGAAACACACCUGCUCCCUUGAUUUAGGCCUCUGGGAAACAAGGGCAAGGGAGGUGUUGGAACACAAGGUGGAAAUGGGUGUGUUGGCGGUGGCUGAGGAAGUCGGGGCAGGAGGAGCCACUGUUUCUGGGAAUGAAUUCCUGAAACUUGCUGGUCCCACCAAGAUGCAAAUCUUGCGGCAGUUUUUACAGUUAUCCUGUGGAAGACGUGAGGAUCCCACUCCAAGCCCAGAGACAAGACCUGAAGGAUUGCUAAAGAAUGCCCUUGGUAACAACUGUUUCUCCAGGACCUUGUUUGGCUUCCCCCUGGCUGGGUGGAACCCGCUGUGUGCAGCCUUCGCAGGGAGGUGGGCCGAAGGCUGCCAGCGUUGGAGCAGGUUUCCCCCACUGGACUUUACCUCCAGAUGCCCAGGACAUGGGACAUCAUGCAAAGACCUAGCACGUGGAGAUGUUGACGUUGCAACAAAGAGAACCACUCAAAGAGAAUCGCUCUGUGAGAACCAAUGUUCUAGAGUUUAGGAAGACCAUCAAUUGGGGUAAAUGAGCCAAUUCCCAGAAGGAAAGGGGAAGGACCUUUUCUGAGGCAUGAUCUGAAUUUCCUGGGCUGAUGUUGCCCUUUGUUAUUUCCACAGGGGAUCUUCGUUUUCAAUCGCUCACCUGGGGAGCCGCCAGAUUCUGGCCAAUCUCGGCUUUUUUCCCUCUCACUGUGGGUUCUUCAGAGCCCCAUGGUUUAGACAUAACAGUGGAUUCUCUUGUGCCCCAAUUACCACAUGCGUCAUGGGGAGAAGAGCUUGAACCCCCCAGAGGGUCAGGUCCAGGUGAGAAUUGAGGGUGACACUGAGAGAAUUUAGCUAGGUGGGCGCUGUGUACCGCAUCAUUGCCUGCUCCUUUCGCGGUUUUGCAUUUAUGUGUUGUACAGCUACGUGUCUCAACCUAGAAGGAUCUCCAGGAUGUAUCCUUGGGUGGAAAAAUUUAGAUACUAGAAUCUAGGCCGGGCGCGGUGGCUCACGCCUGUAAUCCCAGCACUUUGGGAGGCUGAGGUGAGUGGAUCAUGAGGUCAGGAGAUCGAGACCAUCCUGGCUAACACGGUGAAACCCCAUCUGUACUAAAAAUACAAAAAUUAGCUGGGCACAGUGGCAUGCACUCGUAGUCCUAGCUACUCGGGAGGCUGAGCCAGGAGAAUCGCUUGUACCCGGGAGGCGGAGGUUGCAGUGAGCCGAGACUGCGCCAUUGCACUCCAGCCUGGGCGACAGAGUGAGACUCCNNNNNNNNNNNNNNNNNNNNGAGAAUCGCUUGAACCCAGGAGGUGGAGGUUGCAGUAAGCCAGGAUUGCACCACUGCUCUCCAGCCUGGAUGACAGAGCAAGACUGUCUCAAAUAAAUAAAUAAAUAAAUAAAUAUAAAAAUUAAAAAAAUUUUAAAAAAGAAAUCUAUAUUGAGUUUUGUACCUACCUAUGAUUCAUGGAUACCUACCAGGGAAAAAGCAGAAUAAAAACAUGCACAGAAGGAAAUAUUCCAAAUUGUGCUUGCCUGGGUGGUAACUUGCUAUAAUGUUUUACUUCUGUAAUGGGAGGGAGUACACAUGUGGCUAUUCUAUUCUUCCUCCCAUGUUUUCAUAUCUGAAAUAUUUCAUA